GAUGAACGCUGGCGGCGUGCCUAAUACAUGCAAGUCGAGCGAACGGACGAGAAGCUUGCUUCUCUGAUGUUAGCGGCGGACGGGUGAGUAACACGUGGAUAACCUACCUAUAAGACUGGGAUAACUUCGGGAAACCGUAGCUAAUACCGGAUAAUAUUUUGAACCGCAUGGUUCAAAAGUGAAAGACGGUCUUGCUGUCACUUAUAGAUGGAUCCGCGCUGCAUUAGCUAGUUGGUAAGGUAACGGCUUACCAAGGCAACGAUGCAUAGCCGACCUGAGAGGGGACGGGCCCACACUGAGAGAGAGACACGGCCCAGUCCCAAGGGGGGGGAACAUGGGGGGAAUCUCCCCAAGGGGGCGAGGACCGGCGGGAGCACGCCCGCGGGAGGAAUGAGGGUGUUGGUAUCUAAAAACUGUGUGAUUAUAAAAAAAAAUUUGGGAAAGAAACUGGGCACAUCUGAAGGGACCCUAAAAAGAAGCCCAGGCCAAACUCCGUC
rnacentral:rRNA from 1 species